rnacentral:rRNA from 1 species
CCUACGGGAGGCAGCAGUAGGGAAUCUUCCACAAUGGGCGAAAGCCUGAUGGAGCAACGCCGCGUGGAUGAAGAAGGUCUUCGGAUCGUAAAACCCUUUUGUUAGAGAAGAAAGUGCGUGAUAGUAACGGUUCACGUAUCGACGGUAUCUAAAAAGAAAGGCACGGCUAAAUACGUGCCAGCAGCCGCGGUAAUACGUAGGUUGCAAGCGUUAUCCGGAUUUAUUGGGCGUAAAGGGCACGCAGGCGGUCUUUUAAGUCUGAUGUGAAAGCCUUCGGCUUAACCGGAGUAGUGCAUUGGAUACUGGGAGACUUGAGUGCAGAAGAGGUGAGUGGAACUCCAUGUGUAGCGGUGAAAUGCGUAGAUAUAUGGAAGAACACCAGUGGCGAAGGCGGCUCUCUGGUCUGUAACUGACGCUGAGGUUCGAAAGCGUGGGUAGCAAACAGGAUUAGAUACCCGAGUAGUC